ensembl:lncRNA
UGGGGAAGGGGUGCCUAGACCUGGUAGGGGAGAGGGUCUGUGGUCCAUCAGCCAGUCUAUCUCUGGGGCUGCAGGCUCCCACACCCCCAGACUGAGAGACUGCUGAGCGCCCCAACUCUGGGGAGCCCCAUUCCCAACCCCAGACUGACCUCUCCUGGCCAGAUCCCCAAAAAGCAGUUUGAAAGAGAGGGUGAGAAGUCAGCGAGGUCAUUUUUUCACUGCCUAACCCCCGAAAAGAGGGGAGAGAGGCAACCAAGAGGAAAUCGGAAGAAUCAAGUUGGCUCUCCCACCCUCCAGCCUCCUGUCUCUCCCCCAGACUCCAGCUGCGGCCUAAAAUCACAAAGCCUUUUCCCUCAAAACCCAAAGGGAAAAAAGAGAGAGAGAGAGAGAGAGGAAAGCACAGGGAAGGGAAGAGGCAGCAGCGAAUUUCAAAAGGAGGCUAAUUUGUGCAGCGCCGGACAGCCGUAUUUGCAUAAUGAAAUGUGCAGAGGAUGUUUGGCUCAUGUAUUUUUUAGAAGGUUUAACUUUAAUUUUAUUUAGCCUAAGAAGGGCAUGUCACUCAAACUCCGCUGGUCAUUUAUAAAAAUAUUUCAAUUGUGUUUCCAAGGAGCUGUCUUCUGGCCUAAGUGGCUGGUGCCGGAGGUUGUGAAUGCUAAUGCAGAGGUCGGGGAUCCAUGGGGAGGGCAAGCGAGGGAGAGAAAAACAGGAGGGGCAGAGACACCAGGAAAGAGACACCACCGAAGACGCAGAGAAGAAAGGACAGGCAGGAAAACAAAGCAAGAAAGAGACAGAGUGUUGCGUGGGACAAGGUCCCCUGGACUCAAAGAAGCGGGUCAGCAUCGGCGCACAGAAUAGACAAGAAGUGGGAGAAAGGAGGCUGUACCUGCAGAAUCUCUCUCCUUCCCUGGCUGGCCUGAAAGCUCUUCAGAGAAACUGCAGACUCAAGCCAAUUUGGGUCUCUGAUUUACUGAUAUAGAAACUGAGCUCGACAGGAGGGGAAAU